UCCUGGUUAACCCAGGCAGUCUCACUAGAGUUCCCACCAUUACGUGUUGGCAACUAGUGAUAAGGGUUGCGCUCGUUGCGGGACUUAACCCAACACCUCACGGCACGAGCUGACGACAGCCAUGCAGCACCUGUGCAGCGGUCCCGAAGGAAGGCGCCAUCUCUGGCGCUGUCCACUGCAUGUCAAGUCUGGGUAAGGUUCUUCGCGUUGCAUCGAAUUAAACCACAUACUCCACUGCUUGUGCGGGUCCCCGUCAAUUCUUUUGAGUUUCACCCUUGCGAGCGUACUCCCCAGGCGGUAUACUUAUCGCGUUAGCUACGGCACAACUAGGGUUGAGUCCAGUUACACCAAGUAUACAUCGUUUACGGCAAGGACUAC
rnacentral:misc_RNA from 1 species